rnacentral:rRNA from 1 species
AUUGAACGCUAGCGGCAUGCCUUACACAUGCAAGUCGAACGGCAGCACGGGGGCAACCCUGGUGGCGAGUGGCGAACGGGUGAGUAAUGCAUCGGGACGUGCCCAUCGAUGGGGGAUAACUGCGCGAAAGCGUUGCUAAUACCGCAUACGACCUACGGGUGAAAGCAGGGGACCGCAAGGCCUUGCGUCGAUGGAGCGGCCGAUGCCGGAUUAGCUAGUUGGUGAGGUAAAGGCUCACCAAGGCGACGAUCCCGUAGCUGGUCUGAGAGGACGACCAGCCACACUGGGACUGAGACACGGCCCAGACUCCUACGGGAGGCAGCAGUGGGGAAUCUUGGACAAUGGGCGAAAGCCUGAUCCAGCAAUGCCGCGUGUGGGAAGAAGGCCUUCGGGUUGUAAACCACUUUUGGCGGGAAAGAAAUGGUCUGUGCUAAUACCACGGAUUGAUGACGGUACCCGCAGAAUAAGCACCGGCUAACUACGUG